UGAAUACGAGACGCUACGGCGUCGAAGCAGUCGAUGUCAUACUUCCAAGAAAAGCUUGCACUGUCAUAAACAAAUAAUGCCUGUACCAUAACCGACACAGGUGGGUAGGUAGAGUAUACUAAGGGGCGCGAGAUAACUCUCUCUAAGGAACUCGGCAAAAUGACUCCGUAACUUCGGGAGAAGGAGUGCCUUAUUUAUAAGGUUGCAAUAACAAGAUCCAAGCAACUGUUUACCAAAAACACAGGUCUCCGCUAAGUCGUAAGACGAUGUAUGGGGGCUGACGCCUGCCCAGUGCCAGAAGGUUAAAGAAGUCGGUUAGCAUUAGCGAAGCUGGUAACUGAAGCCCUGGUGAACGGCGGCCGUAACUAUAACGGUCCUAAGGUAGCGAAAUUCCUUGUCGGGUAAGUUCCGACCCGCACGAAAGGCGUAAUGAUUUGGAUACUGUCUCGGAGAGGGACUCGGUGAAAUAGACUUGUCUGUGAAGAUGCGGACUACCUGCACCAGGACAGAAAGGCCCUAUGAAGCUUUACUGUAACUUGAAAUUGAAAUUGGACUUUAUUUGCGCAGUAUAGGUGGGAGGUGUUGAGAAUAUUCUUGCGGGAAUAUUGGAGCCAUCAGUGAGAUACCACUCUUGUAAUGUUAGAUUUCUAACUUUGGAUCAUUAUCUGGUCAAAGGACAGUUUCAGGCGGGCAGUUUGACUGGGGCGGUCGCCUCCUAAACGGUAACGGAGGCGCACAAAGGUUUCCUCUGAACGGGUAGAAAUCGUAUCUAGAGUGUAAAGGCAUAAGGAAGCUUGACUGUGAGACCUACAAGUCGAGCAGGGACGAAAGUCGGUCUUAGUGAUCUGACGGUGCUGAGUGGAAAGGCCGUCACUCAACGGAUAAAAGUUACUCUAAGGAUAACAGGCUGAUCUCCCCCAAGAGUUCACAUCGACGGGGAGGUUUGGCACCUCGAUGUCGGCUCAUCGCAUCCUGGGGCGGUAGUACGUCCCAAGGGUUGGGCUGUUCGCCCAUGAAAGCGGUACGCGAGCUGGGUUCAGAACGUCGUGAGACAGUUCGGUCCAUAUCCGGUGUAGGCGUUAGAAUAUUGAGAGGAGCCUUCUUUAGUACGAGAGGACCGAGAAGGACAUACCUCUGGUGUACCAGUUAUCGUGCCAACGGUAAACGCUGGGUAGCUAUGUAUGGAGAGGAUAACCGCUGAAAGCAUCUAAGUGGGAAGCCCACCUCAAGAUAAGUGCUCUCACAGGGUUAACCUGGUAAGGUCACGGGAAGACCACCCGUUAAUAGGCACUAGGUGGAAGUCCAGUAAUGUAUGGAGCCAAGGUGUACUAACAGACCGAGGGCUUGAC
rnacentral:rRNA from 1 species